rnacentral:rRNA from 1 species
UAUUUGUAGUCAUACGCUCGUCUCAAAGAUUAAGCCAUGCAUGUGUAAGUAUAAAUAGUUAACUUUGAAACUGCGAAUGGCUCAUUAUAUCAGUUAUAGUUUAUUUGAUGAAGAAUACUAAUUGGAUAACCGUAGUAAUUCUAGAGCUAAUACAUGUAUAAAGUCUUGUAGACUGCAUUUAUUAGAAUGAAAACCAUAGGUUUCGGCCUAUUCGUGAGUAAUAAUAACUAAUCAUAUCGUAUGCUUAUGUAACGAUGUGUCUUUCAAGUUUCUGCCCUAUCAGCUUUCGAUGGUAGUGUAUUGGACUACCAUGGCAGUAACGGGUAACGAAGAA